rnacentral:misc_RNA from 1 species
GAUGAAGAACGCAGCGAAAUGCGAUAAGUAAUGUGAAUUGCAGAUUUCAGUGAAUCAUCGAAUCUUUGAACGCACAUUGCGCCCUUUGGUAUUCCAAAGGGCAUGCCUGUUCGAGCGUCAUUUGUACCCUCAAGCUUUGCUUGGUGUUGGGCGUCUUGUCUCUAGCUUUGCUGGAGACUCGCCUUAAAGUAAUUGGCAGCCGGCCUACUGGUUUCGGAGCGCAGCACAAGUCGCACUCUCUAUCAGCAAAGGUCUAGCAUCCAUUAAGCCUUUUUUUCAACUUUUGACCUCGGAUCAGGUAGGGAUACCCGCUGAACUUAAGCAUAUCAAUAAGCGGAGGA